rnacentral:lncRNA from 1 species
CUGACUCCUAUUGCUAGCCUGGGCCUCUGCACAUUGAACCCUGGACUUCCUGAAUGCCUGUAGACACACCAAGGACAGUGGUAAAGGCCACUCACCCUGCCUAUGAAUUGUUAUGAAUUAUAAUAUCUUAUGAACCCUUAUCUGCUUGGCAAUGUAAUGAUAAUAUUUUUUUUAGUUUUAGUUGGACAUAAUGUAUUUAUUUUUAUGUGGUGCCGAGGAUCGAACCCAGUGCCUCACAUGUGUGAGGUGGGCACUCUACCAAUGAGCUACAGCUCCAGCCCCAAUAGUAUUAUUGAAUAUGUCUUCGUUCAAUCUCACACAGUGUUAGGGAGCCGUCUUUGUUCCCCUUUAAUGGAUGUGCAAACCCAAGUUUGGGAAGGCGACUCUCCAUGCUGAGUGGACAGUGGUGGAGGUGGAAUGAGACCCAGACCUGUCCCUGCAGUGUUUUGGUCUGGGAGCUUUGUAAGGUGACUUCAGCCCUGCUGGCCCCCUGCCUGCCCCUCUGUCAGGGUCAGCUGGCCCAGCCUUCACUUGUGUAGCUGGAGAAUGAGGAAUCAAUAGUGUAGCUCUCCUGACUGUUGCCAUGUCACACUGCCUGUCCCUGUGGUGGUGUGAGGAACAGUGGCCUCUGACCUGUCCU